AUUCUCCUGCCUCAGCCUCCCGAGCGGCUGGGAUUAUAGGCAUGUGCUACCACGCCUGGCUAAUUUUUUUUGUGUUUACUUUACCCAUCUUUAUUACAAUUACUAUAAUAUUAGGACUUAUUCUGCCAUUUAAUUUUAUAUUUUUCAUGUACUGUGCCUUCUUUGUUGUUUCUUUCCCCACCUUUGUUACUUUCCAUUACAUAGAGCCAACAUUCUUCUCAUGUUUUGAAAACUAUACAUUCUAUUUUCUUGUUAAUGUAGUUGCUUUAAUUUGACUUUAUGCUACUUCAUUGAAUAAUUUUUAAUUAUUUAUAUUCUUCCUAAUAAUAAAGUUCCUUUCACACCCUCCUAUCCCAUCAGUCUUGUCUUUUCCUUCCUCUUUUUUUUUUUUUGAGAUGGGGUCUUGCACUGUCUCCCAGGCUGAAGUGCAGUGGUACGAUCUUGGCUCAUUGCAACCUCUGCCUCCUGGGUUCAAGCAAUUCUGCCUCAGCUUCCCGAGUAGCUGGGAUUACAGGUGUGCGCCACUGUGCUUGGCUAAUUUUUGUAUUUUUAGUAGAGACGGGGCUUCACCAUGUUGGCCAUGGUUGGCCAGGCUGGUCUCGAACUCCUGACCUCGGGUGAUCUGUCUGCCUCGGCCUCCCAAAGUGCUGGGAUUACAGGUGUGAGCCACUGCACCCGGUCCGUUCUGCUUAUUUUCAUCAUAUUCAUAGUAUCUAUAAUUCAGGUUUUUUUUCUUUUUUUUUUUUUGGUGUAAGUUCCCAACCAAUGGCCUUGUCCUUCGAGUACUUUUCCUCAGGCUGAUGAUAAAAGUUCUGUGUGAAGGUCCUUUUGCUUCAGCUCAUCUAUGGGACGGAGUCCAGCUGCAAAUAUAUGACACAGUAACUAGAGACUCUACUCUCCAACCAAUCAUUCCAUUCUGAUUAUCUCUCACUCUCCUCCACCUCUUCUUUCUCAGACUCUCUCCCCCUUUUAGCUUUUGUUGAUAUUCAAUUUUAUUAUGUCAUUUAAUCAUGUUUAUUUCCUAUAUUGCAG
rnacentral:lncRNA from 10 species